rnacentral:rRNA from 1 species
GACGAACGCUGGCGGCGUGCUUAACACAUGCAAGUCGAACGGAAAGGCCCUGCUUUUGUGGGGUGCUCGAGUGGCGAACGGGUGAGUAACACGUGAGUAACCUGCCCUUGACUUUGGGAUAACUUCAGGAAACUGGGGCUAAUACCGGAUAGGAGCUCCUGCUGCAUGGUGGGGGUUGGAAAGUUUCGGCGGUUGGGGAUGGACUCGCGGCUUAUCAGCUUGUUGGUGGGGUAGUGGCUUACCAAGGCUUUGACGGGUAGCCGGCCUGAGAGGGGGACCGGCCACAUUGGGACUAAGAUACGGCCCAGUCUCCUACGGGAGGCAACAGUGGGGAAUAUUGCACAAUGGGGGGGAGCCUGAUGCAGCAACGCCGCGUGCGGGAUGACGGGCUUCGGGUUUUAAACCGCUUUCGCCUGUGACGAAGCGUGAGUGACGGUAAUGGGUAAAAAAGCACCGGCUAACUACGUG